rnacentral:rRNA from 1 species
GACGAACGCUGGCGGCGUGCUUAACACAUGCAAGUCGUACGGUAAGGCCCUUUCGGGGGUACACGAGUGGCGAACGGGUGAGUAACACGUGAGUAACCUGCCCACAACUUUGGGAUAACGCUAGGAAACUGGUGCUAAUACUGGAUAUGUGCUCCUGCUGCAUGGUGGGGGUUGGAAAGCUCCGGCGGUUGUGGAUGGACUCGCGGCCUAUCAGCUUGUUGGUGGGGUAGUGGCCUACCAAGGCGGCGACGGGUAGCCGGCCUGAGAGGGUGACCGGCCACAUUGGGACUGAGAUACGGCCCAGACUCCUACGGGAGGCAGCGGUGGGGAAUAUUGCACCAUGGGCGCAAGCCUGAUGCAGCAACGCCGCGUGCGGGAUGACGGCCUUCGGGUUGUAAACCGCUUUCAGCAGGGACGAAGCUUUUUGUGACGGUACCUGCAGAAGAAGCACCGGCUAACUACGUG